ensembl:lncRNA
GACCAGGUGUGCUGUGUCUUGUUUUGCACGCUUUGUACAAAAUAAUAAAAUACAAGACGACAGGAUCUUUCUAAACAUAGCUGUUUAUUAGUUAGCUAUAACUGGCAUGUUCAUGUGUCUCCGGCCAUGAUCAACUGGAAAAAAUGACCUCAUGACCUGGGUGGUCUUAACCAAUCAUAUCACAGUAUAAUACGACGGUAGAAUGCAACCAAUGCAUGCUCUGUAGUUUGAACUCAAGAUUUAGGACAGCUCUAGGCUUGACCUCUCUUCCUGAACCUUGUGUGAUAUGAAGCUGAGCAUGCUUCUGUGUCAGUCAACAGUUCUUGUGGUGUUGCAGAUGCCAGAACUAACAUCAGGGACUACCAUGGCAAGCUUGCAGCCCAUUACUGGAGUGGCAAUGCUGAUGUGUUCAACAAACCAGGCUCGCAGUCAUGUGGGAAAUGGUCAUCAAAAGGAGGAAGAAAGGUCCAGCGCUACACCAACCUACCCUCUCUGCUCCUCUCUCGCUCGCGGAGCCAGGGGAACCUCAACAACCUGGAGUUUGGGACUGCGCCUCAGACCCCACGGCCCCCCCGCUCCCCAUCCAGUAUAGACUUCCACAGCUUCCAAUCCCCACAGCUCUAUGGAGAUCAUUUCUGAUUAAAGAUAGAUAAUAAUUAUUUUAUUUUGCAUCCCAAAUGGCACCCUAUUCCCUAUAUAGUGCAUAUAUAUAUAUAUACACACACACACACACAAAAGGAGUGAACCAUGUAGGGAAUAGGGUGCCAUUUGGGACGUAAUCUUAUUUUUCUAUUACGAUCAUGGCUAUAUCAUGGCUAUAAAGUAUGAUUGGUCACUUCAGAGAAGCACAAAAGGAUUUGAUUGAUUGAAAGUUAAAGUUGUUCAACUGUCUGGCACAGGUCUCUCUCCUUACUAUGGAAUUUAGCAUGUACACUGAACAUAAAUAUGAACGCAACAUGUAAAGUGUUGGUCCCAUUUUUUUAAUGAGCUGAAAUCAAAGAUCCCAGAAAUAUUCCAUAUGCACAAAAAUAAUAUUUCUCUCAAAUUUUGUGCACAAAUUUGUUAACAUCCCUGUUAGUGAGCAUUUCUCCUUUGCCAAGAUAAUUCACAAUUGGCCCAGUGUUAUCCAGGUUUGGUCAGGGUAGGAUGUCAUUGUAAAUAAGAAUUUGUUCUUAACUGACUUGCCUAGUUAAAUAAUAGUUAACAUUAUAAUAAAUUACACAGGUACGCCUUGUGCUGGAGACAAUAAAAGGCCACUCUAAAAUGCUGAUUUUUAUCACACAUCACAAUGCCACAGGUGUCUCAAGUUUUGAGGGAGCGUGCAAUUGGCGUGCUGACUGCAGGAAUGUGCACCAGAGCUGUUGCCAGAGAAUAUAAUGUUCAUUUCUCUACCAUAAUGUUGUUUUAGAGAAUUUAACAGUACGUCCAACCCGCCUCACAACCGGAGACCACGUGAAUGGCGUUGUGUGGGUGAGCGGUUUGCUAAUGUCAAUGAGUGCCC